CAUGGAUACUAGUCAGAUUCCUUACCACUGAGCCACAAUGGGAACUCCCCUAGAUGGAUCAUUUUUCUAAUCCAUCAAGCUUCUCCUGAAUUAUAUUCAAGCUUCCUUAGACUGAGUGUUUUCCAUCUAAUACUCCAGGAUAAGCCAGGAUCUAAUUCUGGUCCUGCUUUUAUACAUUUUUAACUUCACUCAUCCAUUUACUCAACUGCUACUUUUCCCCCUUUGCACCACCCACUCCUCUAGCUCGCGGUGCCCAAGGCAGUCCCUGGCCUUUUUGGAGAUCACAGCCUUAGCGAGGACUACUGAAAUGAAACCAAAGGGGGUGUCCUUGUGGAAACAUAUGGCUGGGGCUGAAAGAAUGGGAGGAGCAACUGUAUUUCAGGAAUGUCGGGUGUGCUGUGGUUAAAACAAACAAAACAACAGAAAACAAUCAAAACACCUCCAAAAUGCAAUAAUGUUAUGCAAUGAAGAUUUUCUUGCACACACAUUCCAUUGCAGACUGUGUGACUCUCCAAGGCAGCCAUCCUUUCUACAGAAAUCAUGACUGCUUGUUUCUCCUGGUGUCUUACCAACAUGUGCCAGCUUCCAGAUCACGUGGCCGCAGCUAAGCGCAGGGGAGGCUGGGAGAGACGCCUUGCCCAGAGCAGGUGCAGGUGGAGGAGAUGGACAGACGGGCACAUGGCAUCGUCUCUUCUGCGGUGACUCACGUGGCUGGAGCCCAGAAAGAGAAGCUCGGGUUCACCUACUCCUGGACUCUCAGGUGUUAAGACCACAAAAGACCCAAGACCUGAGCCAUGACUGGAGAAGCUGCACUGAAAUUUUCCAGAAGGACCUGAAGAAAAUGCUCUCUAGAACUCCAGCCCAUCUGUGUCGCGUGUCUACAGUGCUUCCAUUGGUGGUGUUACUGGACUGGGUUUGUUUUGGCCAAUUGCACAGCAAGCCGAAAGCUGAGACACGGAGGUUUGUAGCCAGUCACGGAAACAGGAGAAGCAUCUCACAUCCGCCUCCCCAAAGACAACUGCCUUGGGGUAUUUACUGGAUAAAGAAUAGAGCAGCAGGGCGGUUUGGCUUGAGGGGAGCAUGGGGAGAGGUGAUUGGAAAAUGGGAGAGUUGAGUUUUUGCACAGGUGUAACUACACUAAAUGCCUCCACAAGAUCGAAAGGGCUGGGAAGACGCUGGCGCAUGCCCAGUGGAAGGGUUGGUGGUCCUAUCUGGUCUUAACCAGCUCAGUUUGAACUGGAUGAAGCGGACUCUGAGUUCCUGGGAAACAACCCUGGUGAAUGUUUUACUGUCCAGGCCAUGUGCCACUUGGAGGGCAGUUGAGUCUUAACCUGGAUCAGUAAAGGCAGGUGAAUUGGAUUUAUUCCACGGUGGGUACACAGAGGCAUCGCCAGGCCAGACAAGCACCUCGGAAGGUGGAGACGACUGUGAUCCUUCGAUACGUUGGCCCUGUCACCGCAGAAAGAGCAGUGUCGGGACAGUCGUGCAAGGUCAGUGCGAGUCUGGGAGAGCAUGCCUGCCCACUGGGCUCAGUGGGGAUUAACGGAGGGGUGAGUGAGAGCCGCCAGGGGGGCCAAGGGGACGCCCUGGCCGAGCCCUUAGGCUGUGCCAAGGCACAGAGGCCCAGUGGGGCAAGGGAGGAGCUUGGGGAGUGGUGCCCCGCAGCUAUUGCUCCUAAAGAGAGAGCGCUCCAGGGUCCAGGGGGCUCUGGCCAGCUCGCGUGGGGUUGGGGGAGGAGGCCAAGGCCGGGCCCACGGAAUCUGCCUGCACCUUGGUUUGUUCUUCAAAAGAAGAAGAAAACAGCCUGGUUUGGGGUUUGUUUUGGUUGCUAAGUGGCGGUGAGGGCUUUGCCCAGCCAGUUGACCAUCCCCCACCCCGCCCUGGGCCUCCGUUUCCCCCUCUGUAUACAAGGUCAUGACUUAAACUGUGUUUAGCUCAGCAUCACAUAGAGAUGUUAAAUGCUGAUUCCUGGGCCCCAUCCCCAGAGGUUCUGAGUCCUCAGAGCCUGGGUAACGAGGGCCCCAGGGGCUUCUACUGCAGGUGGACCUUGCGUUUUAGCAGCUAACUGAACAGUCUUGAUGGUAAGAAUCACCUGGGGAGUUGUGACAAACACA
rnacentral:lncRNA from 1 species